rnacentral:ncRNA from 1 species
CAGGAGUGCUUAAUGAAUUAGGCUGAGAGACGGUCUGUAUCGGCUGUCAAUCCUUAGGGUUAAACCCUUUACCUGAUCCGGAUAAUACCGGCGUAGGAAGUUUGCUUUU